AGAAUGAACGCUGGCGGCAUGCCUAACACAUGCAAGUCGAACGAGACCUUCGGGUCUAGUGGCGCACGGGUGCGUAACGCGUGGGAAUCUGCCCCUUGGUUCGGAAUAACAGUGAGAAAUUACUGCUAAUACCGGAUAAUGACGUAAGUCCAAAGAUUUAUCGCCAAGGGAUGAGCCCGCGUAAGAUUAGCUAGUUGGUGGGGUAAAGCCUACCAAGGCGACGAUCUUUAGCUGGUCUGAGAGGAUGAUCAGCCACACUGGGACUGGGACACGGCCCAGACUCCUACGGGAGGCAG
rnacentral:rRNA from 1 species